rnacentral:misc_RNA from 1 species
GAUGAAGAACGUAGUGAAAUGCGAUAAGUAAUGUGAAUUGCAGAAUUCAGUGAAUCAUCGAAUCUUUGAACGCACAUUGCGCCCGCCAGUAUUCUGGCGGGCAUGCCUGUUCGAGCGUCAUUACAACCCUCAGGCCCCCGGGCCUGGCGUUGGGGAUCGGCGGAGCCCCCCGUGGGCACACGCCGUCCCCCAAAUACAGUGGCGGUCCCGCCGCAGCUUCCAUCGCGUAGUAGCUAACACCUCGCGACUGGAGAGCGGCGCGGCCACGCCGUAAAACACCCAACUCUUCUGAAGUUGACCUCGAAUCAGGUAGGAAUACCCGCUGAACUUAAGCAUAUCAAUAAGCGAGGA